rnacentral:misc_RNA from 1 species
UUAAGUUCAGCGGGUAUCCCUACCUGAUCCGAGGUCAAACGUGAGAAGGAGUCUUGAUGGAGUGCCGUCCUCUUUUGCUGAUUGCAAGCGCAAAAAUGUGCUGCGCUGCGAAACCAGUAGGCCGGCUGCCAAUCGUUUUAAGGCGAGUCUUUGGGCAAAGAGCCAAAAGACAAGACGCCCAACACCAAGCAAAGCUUGAG